ensembl:lncRNA
ACUGGAUGAUCAUUGUGGUCCUUUUCAACCCAGGCCAUUCUAUGAUCCUCUGAUAUGAUUCUAGGACUGCUUCCAGCCUUUUGGGCUGUGACUUCAGGCCCUUGGGCCGAUGCCGGCCUUGCUGAGUGGGGCAUCGGGCCCCAGGGCAUGUGCUGGCCCUUUGGGCUGUAGCUUUAGGCCUCGGGGCUGAUGCCAGCCUGUCAGGCUGUGGAUGUGCCUUCAGGCCCCAGGGCCAGUUCUGGCCUCUUGGGCUGUGGCUUUAGGCCCUGGUGCCGGUGCCAGGCUCCCUGUCUGUGUUUGUGGCUUUAGGCCCUGGAGCUGGUGCCAGCCUCCCAGGCCGUGACUCUGGCUUUAAGCCCCUAGGCCAGUACCGGCCUGUCUGGCUCUGGCUGUGGCUUUAGGGCUCUCUGUCCCUGGUGCCGGCGUCUCAGGCUGGGGAUGAGGCUUCAGGCGGCGGCACGGUGCAGGCCCUCCUGCCUGUGGCUUCAGGCCCCGGGUCGGUUUAGGCAUCUCGGGCUGUGGCUUCAGGCCCCGGGUCGGUUUAGGCAUCUCGGGCUGUGGCUUCAGGCCCUGGGGCCGGUGCUGGCCUCUCUAGCAGUGGCUUCAGGCCCCAGGGCAUGUGCUGGCCCUUUGGGCUGUGGCUGUAGGCUGCAGGGCCAGUGCUGCCCUAUGUGGCUGUGGCUUUAGGCCCCAGGGCUGGUGCCAGACUCACUGGAUGUGUCUGUGGCUUUAGGCCCUGGAGCUGGUGCUGGCCUCUCAAUGCCAUGAGUCUGGCUUUCUGCCCCCGGGCUGUGCUGGCCUCUCUGCCUCUGGCUGUGGCUGUAGGCCCAGGGCUGGUGCUGACCUCUCAGGCUGAGGAUGAGUCUUCAGGAUGCAGUGCCAGUGCAGGCCUGCCUGCCUGCGGCUUCAGGCCCCGGGGUCUGUUUAGGCAUCUCUGGCUGUGGCUUUAGGCGCUGGGGUCGGUGCUGGCCUCUCUUGUGGUGGCUUUAGACCACAGGGACCUCAUGCCUCUCAGGCUGAGGCUUUAUCCCCCGUGGCUGUGCCGGCCACUCAGGCUGUGGCUUUAGGCCCUAGAGCUUGUGCCGGCCUAGAACAACGUGCAUUUGAAAAUGGCUCAUGGAAGGAAAUGAAAGCAAGAGAGCACUGAGCUCUUCUGUGUGUUUCUUGGAUUGGGAUAGAGACAGGAGAGCGUGCUCAACCUCGUGUGGUUGCUUGUAUCCAGCAACACCAGUCGCAGCUGAGAACAUCGUCACAUCUUUAUUAGGCACUCCUCCGUCUGUCUCUUUUUGUCUCUGUUUUCUGGAAUGCAGGCAUUUCUCUUUGUGGCCCACAAACUCUUUGUGCCAGGAUAACCAAGUAUGAAUUCUCACUGCUCUUUACCCUGCUCAAGAGAAGGUGGCUGUACUGUGAGGGCAGGUGGGAGCAGGGACGAGGGUCAGGAGCAAGGGCAGAGUGCUUUCUUUGUUACUCAAUGGAAGGGCUGUGUUUUUCAGGUGGAUUUGUCGUGGUGCUUCUUACAAGGACUGACUAACAGUGGGAUGAGAUGUGCCCUGAAGGGGGUGUGCUUGCCACCUUGGAAAUAGGCAAAUACAAAUAAUUUAUCAGGACGGUAUCUCUGAUAAAGCAGAAUCUCGGCACAACUGCAAUGGCAGGCCUCCUGCAAGCAGGAGAGCACACAGAAAACAGCCUUCCAUUUUUACUCCCUGUUAUCGACGCUUACCUCUUU